rnacentral:lncRNA from 1 species
CCCAGGCCAUGGCCACGCUCCCACCGGAAACCCCGGAUCGCCUCCUCCGAGCAGCUGGCCUGGAAUCCGUCUCCACGUCCCUGACCUCCAAGCCCCUGACGACACCUCCUUGUGCCUCCAGAGGCCUCCUGGCCCCGGGCGGGCCUCUCGCAGGCCUCCCUGCAGUCCCUCAAACAAGCUGCGUCCUUAGGGACCCCACGCCUGCAUGUGUGCUGCUCCCCCGGCCAGUCAAGGCCCGUCCUCCCCGACCCCGGGCCUCCGCAGCUCCCGCGGCCUGGGCCUCCCCUCCAGCCUGAGACUGGGCCUCCCAAUCCCCCUGGGCCUGGGCCUCCCCUCCACGCCAGACCAGGCCUCCCAUACUUGCCGACCCCUGGCCUCCUCUGCUCCCUGGCCUCCAUUCCUCCACGACCACGGACCACCCCGCACCCCGAACCCAGGCCACACCAGCUCCCCGGGCCUGGGCCUGCCCUCCUCCGCGAACACGGGCCUCCCCUCUUCCCAGAGCCCGGGACGCCACUCCUCCCCAAUCCCAGGGCUCCCUGGAACUGGGCCUCCCCUACUCUCCAGGCAUGGGCUUCCCCUCCUCCAGGACCCCAGGCCUCCCCACCUCCCCGGGAGCAGACCUCCCCUCCUCCCCGAGACCACUCCUCCCCAGCUUGCCAGGAACAGGCCUACCCAGCUCCACCGGGCUGGCCUCCCCCGCUCCCAGAGCCCAGGCCUCCCCUCCUCCCCGAGCCCAGCCUCCCCAGCUCCCAGGGCCCGGGCCUCUCCUCCCAGGUCCCGGGCCUCCUGUCCUCCCAUAGACCAGGCUUCCCCAGCUCCCCAGACCCGGGCUUCCCCUCCUCUUCGGUCCUGGGCCUCACUACCUCCCCGAGCCCAGGCCUCCCCUCCUCCCCAGCUCCCGGGCCGGCCUCUCCUCCCAGGUCCCGGGCCUCCCGUCCUCCCAUAGAACAGGCCUCCCCUCUUCCCCGGGCCGGGGCUCCCCUCCUCCACGGGCCAGGCCUCCUCAGCUCCCUGGGACCUGGCCUCCCCUCCUCCCCAGGACCGGGCAUCGUCUCCUUCCCAGUCCCAGGGCUCUCAUCCUCCCCGAGCCCAGGCCACCCCAGCUCCCUGACACCAGGGGACGCCCCCCUUCUGCCCCAACCCCAGGCCUCCACAGCCCCCCGGGGCCCAGCCUCCCCCCUCCCCAGGCCGGCCUCCCCUAUUCCUGGAGCCAGGGCCUCCCCAGCUCCAAGGACCCGGGCCUCCCCUCCUUCACAGGCCAGGGCCUCCCUUCUUCCCCAAGCCGGGUCUCCCCUCCUCUCCGACCCCAGGCCUCCCUCCUCCCCGAGCCUGGGCCUCCCCUCCUCCUGGGUCCUGGGUCUCCCCUCCUCCCCAGGCCGGGCACCCCUCUGCCCCGACCCUGGGCCUCCCCAGCUCCAAGGACUCGGGCCUCUCCUCCUCCCGGGUCCCGGGCCUCCCAUCCUCCCAAGACCAAGCCUCCCAUCCUUCCCGGGCCCUGGCCACCCCAGCUCCCUGAGGCCGGGGCCCCCCCCGCCGCCCCGACCCAGGCCUCCACAGCUCCCUGGGACCCGGCCUCCCCUCCUCUGUGGUCCAGUGCCUCCCCUCCUCCCCGGGCCAGGGCUUCCCUCCGCGCCAAACCUGGGCCUGCCCAGCUCCCUGACACCAGGCCACCCCAGCUCCCCGGGCCCGGGCCUCCCCAGCUCCCCGGGACCAGACCUCCUCUCCUCUCCAAGCCCGGGCCUGGGCCUCGCCUCCUUCCUGAGCCCAGCCUCCCCAGCUCCUGAGGCCCUGGCCUAUCCUCCUCCCAGGUCAUGGUCCUCUGGUCCUCCCAUGGCCUCCCAGCCACGGGCCGGGCCUCCUCUCCUCCCUGAGCCCAGGCCUCCCCAGCUCCAAGGACCCGGACCUCCCCUCCUUCAUGGGCCAGGGCAUCUCCCUCUCCCCAACCCCUGGCCUCCCCUCCUCCCCGACCCCGGGCCUGCCCAGCUCCCCGGGACCAGGCCUCCCCUCCUCCUUGAACCAGGGCCUCCCCUCCAGCCCGAGACUGGGUCUCCCAAUCCCCCCAGGCCCGGGCCUCUCUUCUUCCCUGGCCCUAGCCUCCCCUCCACCCUGGACCAGGCCUCCCAUAUUCCCCAACCCCUGGCCUCCAUUCCUCCAUGACCACAGGCCUCCCUGCACCCCAAACCCAGGUCACACCAGCUCCCUGGGCCCGGGCCUCCCCUCCUCCAUGAACAUGGGCCUCCCCAGCUCCCGAGACCCGGCCUCCCCUCCUCUGCGGGCCUGGGCCUCCCUUCCUCCCUGAGCCUGGGCCUCUCCUCCCGGGUCCCAGGCCUCCCAUCCUCCCAUAGACCGGGCCUCACUUCCUCCCCAACCCGGGCCACCCCAGCUCCCUGAUGCCAGCCCACCCCACCCUGCCGCCCCGACCCAUGGCCUCCACUCCUCCCCGACCCUGGGCACCCCAGCUACCCCAGCCCGGGCCACCCCUCCUCCGGCAACCUGGGCUUCCCCUCUUUCCUGAGCCCAGGCCUCCACAGCUCCCGGAGCCCAGGCCUCCUCUCUUCCCCAAGCCCAGGCCACCCCAGCUCCAAGGACCCGGGCCUCCUCUCCUUCACGGGCCAGGGCCUCUCCUCCCUGAGCCAGGCCUCCCCUACUCUCCAAGCCCAGGCCUCCCCAGCACCCCAGCCUGGGCCUUUCCUCCCGCGGGUCCCGGGCCUCCCCAGCUCCCGAACCCUGGUCUCCCCUCUUUCCCGGACCGGGCUUCUGAUGCUCCCCGACCCCUGGCCUCCCCUGCUCCUGGACCGCUGGCCUCUUCUCCUCCCUGACCCCUGGCCUCCCCUCC